rnacentral:rRNA from 1 species
UACAGGGGUCCCAAGCGUUGUUCGGAUUUAUUGGGCGUAAAGGGUGCGUAGGCGGCGGAGUAAGUUGGGUGUGAAAUCCCGGGGCUCAACCUCGGAAUUGCAUUCAAUACUGCUUCGCUUGAGUACUGGAGAGGAGGCUGGAAUUUACGGUGUAGCAGUGAAAUGCGUAGAUAUCGUAAGGAAGGCCGGUGGCGAAAGCGAGCCUCUGGACAGUUACUGACGCUGAUGCACGAAGGCCAGGGGAGCAAACGGG